GAUGAAGAACGCAGCGAAAUGCGAUAAGUAAUGUGAAUUGCAGAAUUCAGUGAAUCAUCGAAUCUUUGAACGCAUCUUGCGCUCCUUGGUAUUCCUUGGAGCAUGCCUGUUUGAGUAUCAUGAGCAAAUCUCAAAGUCAAUUCCUUUUGUUGAUUCAAUUGGUUUUGCUUUGGACUUGGAGGCCUUGCAGAUUUCACAGUCUGCUCCUCUUAAAUGCAUUAGCUGGAUCUCAGUAAUUAUGCUUGGUUCCAAUCGGCGUGAUAAGUAUCACUCGCUGAGGACACUGUUAAAAAGGUGGCCAGGAAAAUACUGAUUGAACCGCUUCUAACGGUCUAUUAAGUUAGACAAUUACCCUUAAGUUUGAACUCAAAUCAGGUAGGACUACCCGCUGAACUUAAGCAUAUCAAUAAGCGGAGGA
rnacentral:misc_RNA from 1 species